AACGCUGGCGGCAGGCCUAACACAUGCAAGUCGAGCGCACCUUUCGGGGUGAGCGGCGGACGGGUUAGUAACGCGUGGGAAUAUACCCUUUGGUACGGAAUAGCCUCUGGAAACGGAGAGUAAUACCGUAUGAGCCCUUCGGGGGAAAGAUUUAUCGCCAAAGGAUUAGCCCGCGUUAGAUUAGGUAGUUGGUGGGGUAAUGGCCUACCAAGCCUACGAUCUAUAGCUGGUUUUAGAGGAUGAUCAGCAACACUGGGACUGAGACACGGCCCAGACUCCUACGGGAGGCAGCAGUGGGGAAUCUUGGACAAUGGGCGCAAGCCUGAUCCAGCCAUGCCGCGUGAGUGAUGAAGGCCUUAGGGUCGUAAAGCUCUUUCGCCUGUGAAGAUAAUGACGGUAGCAGGUAAAGAAACCCCGGCUAACUCCGUGCCAGCAGCCGCGGUAAUACGGAGGGGGUUAGCGCUGUUCGGAAUUACUGGGCGUAAA
rnacentral:rRNA from 1 species